rnacentral:rRNA from 1 species
GCCAGACUCCUACGGGAGGCAGCAGUGGGGAAUAUUGCACAAUGGGCGCAAGCCUGACCCAGCAACGCCGCGUGAAGGAAGAAGGCUUUCGGGUUGUAAACUUCUUUUAAGAGGGAAGAGCAGAAGACGGUACCUCUUGAAUAAGCCACGGCUAACUACGUGCCAGCAGCCGCGGUAAUACGUAGGUGGCAAGCGUUGUCCGGAUUUACUGGGUGUAAAGGGCGUGCAGCCGGGAAGACAAGUCAGAUGUGAAAUCCAAGGGCUCAACCCUUGAACUGCAUUUGAAACUGUCGUUCUUGAGUACUGGAGAGGUUGACGGAAUUCCUAGUGUAGCGGUGAAAUGCGUAGAUAUUAGGAGGAACACCAGUGGCGAAGGCGGUCAACUGGACAGCAACUGACGCUGAGGCGCGAAAGCGUGGGGAGCAAACAGGAUUAGAUACCCCCGUA